rnacentral:lncRNA from 1 species
GCUCAGAGAGGCCGAGGCAGGAGCAGCUCCGCGGGCCUUGAGGGCGUGUCAGGCGGCUGUGUUCCUUCGCCACGCAGGCGCCCCGCGCCUUUUCCCGCAGCUCUGCGCCACUCCCACACUCCCGGGUCCGAGCUAACCUAGACCACCCGUGAGGACCGCCCUCGGGGGGACCGCCCGUGUCUGCGCCAUCCCCCGCCAGCAAGUGGGCGUGCGGGCCCCAGGGCCACUCUACUCUCCAGGGACAGCCCCCAGCCCGACCCGCGCACCCUGCAGGCCCGCGGUCCGCACGCAGCACCCGCUUUCAAAAACUGCGCCCUGCAAGCUGCCCGGGAGCUCCUGACUGCAGAUGGUGCUUGGCCGCCCAGGCUCCCCGCAGCCUCCCGCCACCUCGGCGCUCCACUGCGCAGCCCGAGG